rnacentral:rRNA from 1 species
GAGCGAACGCUGGCGGCAGGCUUAACACAUGCAAGUCGAGCGGGCAUCUUCGGAUGUCAGCGGCAGACGGGUGAGUAACACGUGGGAACGUACCCUUCGGUUCGGAACAACUCUGGGAAACUGGAGCUAAUACCGGAUACGCCCUUAUGGGGAAAGGUUUACUGCCGAAGGAUCGGCCCGCGUCUGAUUAGCUAGUUGGUGGGGUAACGGCCUACCAAGGCGACGAUCAGUAGCUGGUCUGAGAGGAUGAUCAGCCACACUGGGACUGAGACACGGCCCAGACUCCUACGGGAGGCAGCAGUGGGGAAUAUUGGACAAUGGGCGCAAGCCUGAUCCAGCCAUGCCGCGUGAGUGAUGAAGGCCUUAGGGUUGUAAAGCUCUUUUGUCCGGGACGAUAAUGACGGUACCAGAAGAAUAAGCCCCGGCUAACUUCGUG